UUUUGUAUUGAAAGACCCUAGUGGGGAGACCCCCACUCAAGUCCCGAGGUGGUGCGCACCCAAGGAAUCACGAGAGACC
rnacentral:pre_miRNA from 7 species